rnacentral:rRNA from 1 species
UACGGAGGGGGCUAGCGUUGUUCGGAAUUACUGGGCGUAAAGCGCACGUAGGCGGCUUUGUAAGUUAGAGGUGAAAGCCCAGGGCUUAACCCUGGAAUUGCCUUUAAGACUGCAUCGCUUGAAUUGUGGAGAGGUGAGUGGAAUUCCGAGUGUAGAGGUGAAAUUCGUAGAUAUUCGGAAGAACACCAGUGGCGAAGGCGACUUACUGGACGAUUGUUGACGCUGAGGUGCGAAAGCGUGGGGAGCAAACAGG